CUAGCUCCAGGGACGCCGUACCCGAUCCAAAUUCGAUCUAUUCAAUCGAUCUCUUGCUCCUGCCGCACGGCAACUACUCCAUAAAUAUUCCACACGUCCUUGUCAUCGGAUUUUCGCCAAAAUCGCUGCCUCCCGUGCCCUAGAACGGCGCCUAGAUCUCGCCGUAGUCCGCCGCAGCCCGAAGCUUCUCCAGUUGGAAGCACCCAAUCGAGCGCUUCGAGCUCGCUCCGGCGAACAUGCCACCGCCCGAGCUCCAGCCACCCUCUGCCGUCGUCCCCACUCGCCACCAACGCCGCUGAGGACGUUUUCGAGACCGCGGCAGAGCUGCGCGCCCCGUUUGCUACCGGCCAGAGUCUGGAGACCACCGGAGAAGGCGCCACCAUCGCCGCCCGAGCCGCCGCGCCGUUCUUCCUCAAGUCCGGUGACCAGCCUCUGUUCUUCUCCGAUUGUCCGGAGUGUGAAGCGGAUCAUAAUUGAGCGUUAGAGUACUUCAACAUCAUUAAAGG